rnacentral:rRNA from 1 species
AAGAGAGUUCACAAGUGCGUGAAACUGCACACUGCAAAGCGAAUGACUGGACAUCAUUAAGUGCGAUCUGCCAUGUGUCUAGCACUGGGUACGUGAGAGUAAGCUGUGUUCUACUCAUGUUCUGUCUCUCUCGCGAGGUACCUUAGUGCAAAGAUGCGCAUCUGAUUGUGUCUUCGGCUGCUCGCUGGGUUGGCAAGAGUGAUGGUCGCUGCCGAACAAGAGUUCCGUCAAGGGGCUYUCUGUACUAGUGGCG